rnacentral:rRNA from 1 species
UUAUCGGAGAGUUUGAUCCUGGCUCAGAAUGAACGCUGGCGGCGUGGUUAAGACAUGCAAGUCGAACGGGUUUUUCGAAAGGGCAACCGGACGAAAAGCCAGUGGCAGACGGGUGCGUAACACGUAAGCAACUUACCUUUGUGUGGGGAAUAACCUGUCGAAAGACGGGCUAAUGCCGCAUACGGUUGAUCUCCCCAUGGGGGUCAUACUAAAGCCCGGGACCGAAAGGCCGGGCGCAUAACGAGGGCUUGCGGCCUAUCAGCCAGUUGGUGAGGUAACGGCUCACCAAGGCUAAGACGGGUAGCUGGUCUGAGAGGACGACCAGCCACACUGGAACUGAGACACGGUCCAGACACCUACAAAGGUGGCAAGCAGUUUCGAAUUAUUCACAAUGGGCGAAAGCCUGAUGGUGCGACGCCGCGUGAGGGAUGAAGGUCUUCGGAUCGUAAACCUCUGUCACCGGGGAAGAAUGGUUGCGACCUAACACGUCGCAAAUUGACUUAACCCGGAGAGGAAGCAGUGGCUAACUCUGUGCCAGCAGCCGCGGUAAUACAGAGACUGCAAGCGUUAUUCGGAUUCACUGGGCGUAAAGGGUGCGCAGGCGGUUAUGUGUGUUAGAUGUGAAAGCCCGAGGCUCAACCUCGGAAUUGCGUCUAAAACUACAUGACUAGAGUACCGGAGAGGAUAGCGGAAUUCACGGUGUAGCAGUGAAAUGCGUAGAUAUCGUGAAGAACACCAGCGGCGAAGGCGGCUAUCUGGAAGGUUACUGACGCUCAGGCACGAAAGCGUGGGGAGCAAAAGGGAUUAGAUACCCCUGUAGUCCACGCCCUAAACGGUGCACACUAGGUGUUAGCGGAUUCGACCCCGUUAGCGCCCAAGCUAACGCGUUAAGUGUGCCGCCUGAGGACUACGGUCGCAAGACUAAAACUCAAAGGAAUUGACGGGGCCCGCACAAGCGGUGGAGCAUGUGGCUCAAUUCGAUGCAACGCGAAGAACCUUACCAGGCCUUGACAUGCAUUGGACCGUCGCUGAAAGGCGACUUUCCCGCAAGGACCGAUGCACAGGUGCUGCAUGGCUGUCGUCAGCUCGUGUCGUGAGAUGUUGCCUUAAGUGGCGCAACGAGCGCAACCCCCUGUCCUUAGGUGCCAUCAUUCAGUUGGGCACUCUAAGGAGACAAACCUCUUUUAGAGGUGGGAAGGUGGGGAUGACGUCAAGUCAGGAUGGCCCUUACGGCCUGGGCUGCACACGUGCUACAAUGCUCGGUACAGAGGGAAGCAAGACCGCGAGGUGGAGCGAAUCCUCAAAGCCGAGCCCAGUUCAGAUUGGAGUCUGCAACUCGACUCCAUGAAGCCGGAAUCGCUAGUAAUGGCGCAUCAGCUACGGCGCCGUGAAUACGUUCCCGGGCCUUGUACACACCGCCCGUCACGUCAUGAAAGCCGGUUUCGCCCGAAGUGCGCUUGCCAACUUGCAAAAGAGGCGGCGUCCUAAGGUGAGGCUGGUGAUUGGGACGAAGUCGUAACAAGGUAGCCGUAGGGGAACCUGCGGCUGGAUCACCUCCUUU